GUGCUCACUUUGAUAGCACAUAUACUAAAAUUGGUACAAUACAGAGAAGAGUAGCAUGGCCCCUGCACAAGGAUGUCACGCAAAUUCAUGAAGUGUUCCAUAUUUUU
ensembl:snRNA U6 U6 spliceosomal RNA